rnacentral:rRNA from 1 species
GUGGGGAAUAUUGGUCAAUGGGCGAAAGCCUGAACCAGCAAUGCCGCGUGAGUGAUGAAGGCCUUCGGGUUGUAAAGCUCUGUCAGGGGGAACGAAAAAGUCGGUUUAACCGCCGGCUCUGACGGUACCCUCAAAGGAAGCACCGGCUAACUCUGUGCCAGCAGCCGCGGUAAUACAGAGGGUGCAAGCGUUGUUCGGAAUUACUGGGCGUAAAGAGCGUGUAGGCGGCUUAAUAAGUCGGAUGUGAAAUCCUUCGGCUCAACCGGAGAACUGCAUCUGAUACUGUUAGGCUAGAGUACCGGAGGGGAUGGCGGAAUUCCCGGUGUAGAGGUGAAAUUCGUAGAUAUCGGGAGGAACACCCGUGGCGAAGGCGGCCAUCUGGAAGGUUACUGACGCUGAGACGCGAAAGCGUGGGGAGCAAACAGG